ACAGCAGUCGCCGCGGUAAUACGAAGGGGGCUAGCGUUGUUCGGAUUUACUGGGCGUAAAGCGCACGUAGGCGGACUUUUAAGUCAGGGGUGAAAUCCCGGGGCUCAACCCCGGAACUGCCUUUGAUACUGGAAGUCUUGAGUAUGGUAGAGGUGAGUGGAAUUCCGAGUGUAGAGGUGAAAUUCGUAGAUAUUCGGAGGAACACCAGUGGCGAAGGCGGCUCACUGGACCAUUACUGACGCUGAGGUGCGAAAGCGUGGGGAGCAAACAGGAUUAGAGACCCCAGUAGUCCCUGUCUCUUAUAC
rnacentral:rRNA from 1 species